AUUACGAUCAAAGCAGAAUAUAUUAAGAUCAUCCCUGGAAAGGUUAAAGGUGAAUAUAACAUGAGCUUACAUACAUUACGUAAACAGUGCAGAAGACAUGAAUAAUGCCUACAAAACAUAGAUAACAACAAGAGGUUGUUGUGUUAUAUCUUUAUUUCUGGCUCUUCUUUUUCCACAAGUCUCCAAACAUUUUAAUGCCAGAGCCCUUCCUUUUUCCACUUCCAAAACCAUCAUCCAAGUCAUCAGCUAUUCCUGGUGAUCCCACAAAACCAGUGUACCCACCACCACCACCACCACCUGUUGUUCCAAAUACGCCACCAAAGUGCUUAUCCAUGGAUCCACACCUCUCGGUAAUCCUACCAUUCAUCUCCACUGCUCCAGCGAGCACUGCUGCUGCUGCAUCUGCUGCUUUUCUCCACUGCUCAGUCUGCACUCUCAUCUUCUUUAUCUCUGCUUCCAAGGCUUUUUUUGCUCCUUCUGCGGAUUCCAGCUUCUCCUUCAAAUCAGCUUCAUUUGAUUUGCUUUGUUUUAGCUCCUCUCCCAGUUGGUUAAGCCUCAUGGACAUUUCCUCUUCCUUUGUUUUAGCGGAUGAUACAUUUGAAGUUGCUUCAUUCAAUAGAUUCUUCAAAUUCUCAUUCUCUUUACCAAAUGCAUCCAAUUCAUUUUCUUUUUUUUCUAACUUGGCUUUCAGCAUAUUUAUCUCAUCAUCUUUUAAAGCCAACUCAUGGAAUGAUGGCUUUACUGGCUCUGAAAUUGCCAGUAUUUCAGUUGUAAUUUUAGUAACACAGUUUCCUUUUUCCACCUGAUCAAUCAGGUGGCCAGGUUCAACCUUGGCCUCAACAGCCUCUUUUUCUACUGAAACUUCAAAAAUGUCAGUUUCCUGCAGAUUGUCAUCAGACACUUCAUCCGCAACAUUGUCCUCUGCCUUAUCAAAAUCCCUGAUUUCCAUUGGAGGAUGUUUCUCUUGAAUUUCCUCAGGCUCUGGAAUAGUCGGUUUCUUUGUUUUCUUUUCUAAUUCUUGUUGAGCUUCUUUCUUUGCGGCUUCAGCAGAAGCUAAUUGACCUUUCAGAAUCUUCAACUCUUCCUGUGCUUGGCCAAGUUGGGAUUCUAAAUCUGCAAUACGGGUGCCAAGUUUCUUUUGGUUCAAUGAGUCAGGAGGGGGGCCUCGUGGGGAGCGACGGUCUCCCAGCUUGGGGCUUCGCUCAGUGAUUGGUCGAUGAUGCAGUGGAUCUGACUCUGAGCUAGAUGUCCUAAGUGGAUGCGGACCUCGAGGUGACUGCCUUUGAGGCAUUUCAGAACCCCUGUUCAUAUGCAAAAACAAAAUGGCACACAUUAUAUUGCGCAAACCAAAGAAAUACAUGGCUUAACUUCCAAUUAAGUAAUCAUGCAACAUUUAAUGUAAUUUGACACAUACUUCUCUUUUGAAAACCAACAGAUUCUAGAUUAAAUACAGAGAAGAAUGAGCCUGUGAGUGAUGAAAAAUGAAACAAACAUCUUAAUAGAUUACAAACUCCCAUAAAAACAUGCAUAUGCAGGUGAUACAAUCAGGCAGACACAUCUAAUAAUAUAGCAUAUACAAGUAUAUCAUGUAUGAUCUGAUUUCUUGCUCAACACAAGUGCAAAAGAAAUUAGUCUUUUCCUUAUUCAUCCCACAAGUGCCUAUUAUUGUUGUGGUCUAUUAACCAUACAACUGGACAAACACAAAUGAUUUAUCGAAGUACUGAGUCCUAAACCAAAACUAGUGUAAACAUGCAACUGCUGAAUAGCCAAAGAAAAUGCAGUAUCAGACUUGAUAAGAAAGAGGAAGACAUACGAGGAUGCAGAGAAUGACAAAAUAGCAUGCGCAAAUAAAUCAAGCCAUAAUCCAACUAUUGUGCACAGUAAAAUGCUGUGAAUUAAACAUAAGCACCCUUCACCAAUCAGCAAUUCCGUAAUGGCAUCUUUAAUAACAGAAGUCAACAUGCUUAUCCAUGUUAACAUUUGCUCAAGUUUUCACUAGCAGAAAUGCAAAUGAAAAAAAAUCAAAAUAUAAUGCAAUACGUAUGCAUAUAUCCAUAUGAAAACUAGAAAAAUAGUGUUUACGUACCUUGACCUCGGCAUUUGAUCAGAUUCAGAAAUAUUGGUUGGAGAACAGCAAGAAGAGUGUUAGAGAAUUGUUCUCUGAGAAAUCUAAUAAACAAACAAAAGCCAAAAGGGAAAAUAAUGCAAAAAGAGAGAGAAACCAAAAAGUUAGAAUGCUCAUAAAUAAACUAUCAAUGUAAAGAAAUUGGAAAAAAUAAAAUAACAUCCAUAAUAAUUAAUUCAUUGAUAUACCAGCCUAACUUUCUUGCCUGCAAUGCCAAUGCCAAGCACUUGGUAGAGAACAUCAACUUAAGCUUCUAGUUACAUGCAAAAGUUUAAAGCAUAUGUUCUAGACUUAUGAAAUGAAAAUAGAACAUAACUUCUUAUUUCAUUGAACUGAGAGAGUAAGAGGCAAAGCAAGUAAAGCAUGACUGUCAAUAGAGUCGUAUUAUUUGGUUCAAUUUGAUAGUGGAAUACAAAAAUAAAAUAAAAUAAAAUGAUUCCUCAUUUGUAAUGCCCUUUAAGAAGCCAACUUUUGGUAGGAGUCAUAAAUCAUGUUUUAAUGCAUAUGCUUGGCAGGCUGAGUUUAAUGAAAAGUAAAAUGAAGAAAGCAGGAAUUCUUUGCAUGCCCCACAAUAUUCAUUUAGCCUAGACAUGUCAUGCGUACAAUUUAUACCAAAUAGAACCAUCAUAUUCAAAAUCUGACAUAACAAGUCUGAGAAGUGUAAAGCUAGGAAAAAAAUCUAAUAAAUGGUGUACCAUGUCUUAUGAAAACAUGCAUUUCAACGAGAUUAUAGAAUUUACAAAAGAUUAUGUAAACCUGCACACACAACACACGCACACAGAGAGAAAGUCACCCUUUUACAAAACCUUUCAAUUUUAAAAUUGCUCAUUUUGUGGAUUUAGAUAGUAUUCCAACUGAGUAAAGGUUCUCAAUCUAUAUAACCAUUUUUUUUAAACAAUCAAACUAGAUUUGCAUUAGAUGGCCCAAAUGGGCAAAUUACAGAUACUAGAGAACCGAGGCAGUCAAGCCUCACAAGAAAACCUCAUAUUUCUAAUCUAUAGAUAUGGACAAUUUUUCAAAUGUGAACUGGUGAAAAAUGAAAAAUAGAUGCCAUGAUUUCACCUCAAAAAAUCUCAAAAGGUUGCCCAUCUUUUUUAUGGUCCAUGCAGUGUUGAUGAAUGAUGAAAUGUACACAAACGCAACCCUAUACAGUGAUGUAGAAUUCAGACUCACUUAUCAUAUAUAUGAAUUUCAUUGUGCCUGCUUCAGACAACUAUUAAUUCACCUUCCAACUUUGAGACCCUCCCAUGGGAGCAGGUGUAUACUGUCAACUCUACUCAAUAAUUGCACAUAAAAUAUAUGCAUUGUACAUAAAACACCAACCCAUCAUUAUUUUUUAACCAAUUCCCAAAAGCAAAUCCAUUCCUUUAACACUUUCAGUCCUCCCCUCCCAAAUAGAGUUUAACUAUGUAGUUCCAAAAAGCCAAUGCCUUCUCUCUUUUUUCCUACCAUCUCUACAUAAUUAAUAAAAGAUUAUGUAUAAGCAAUGCAAUGAUCAAAUGGUAUAGUGAUAAGAGUGUCUAUCUGUGUUAUAAUACAAUGCAAUGAUUAAAUACAUCUCUACUAUGGAAUGAAUAUACAUAUGAAAAAGAACCCAAAACAUGUAGCACUGCCAGUUUAACUUUCGGAGGCUCAAUACAAUUUCUCCCAAAUUGCAAGUGGUGACUUUGCAAGGGCACUUGCGUCAUUUCAAUCAAGCUUUUACUAACAAGUGAGGAGCCACAAAGGAGUGAACAAGCAGAAGCGUGAAAACAGUGACAGUGGAAUGUCUUCAAACCAGAAUCCGGCCAAAAAUAAAUAAAUGGAUUAACCAGUAGGAGUGACAUCCCACACACGCGCCGCCACGCGCGUGUUCUUAUAAUACAAGACAAACCAAUUUUAAAAGAUUUUUCUUUCAGCUUGUGGUCGUAUGGAAAAACAGACCUCCAUUUCAAAAUACAAAAUAAAGACAAACGAAAACAGACAGAUCUGAAAAUGUUGCAUGUCAGACCGACGUAAAGGAAAUUAUUGAAAAAAUAAAAAAGAAAAACUGAAAGAAUGCGUUUGGUUGCUGAGAAAAUGAAUAAAAAAGGAAGGGGUGGGAACUUGGACUACAAGUGGAAUUUUACAACAGUUGGUGGCUUUAGAAUGGUGGGUAGUAAUGAGAUUCCAA
rnacentral:misc_RNA from 1 species